UGGGUCCUACGGGACGCAGCAGUGAGGAAUAUUGGUCAGUGGGCGCGAGCCUGAACCAGCCAAGUCGCGUGAGGGAUGACGGUCCUACGGAUUGUAAACCUCUUUUGCCGGGGAGCAAGCGUGCGUUCGUGAACGCGCGUCGAGAGUACCCGGAGAAAAAGCGUCGGCUAACUCCGUGCCAGCAGCCGCGGUAAUACGGAGGAUGCGAGCGUUAUCCGGAUUUACUGGGUGUAAAGGGAGCGUAGACGGCAGCGCAAGUCUGGAGUGAAAUCCCAUGGCUUAACCAUGGAACUGCUUUGGAAACU
rnacentral:rRNA from 1 species